AGGGGGUUCCAACAUAUAUAGAGGGGAAUUUGUCCAAGUCUAACGAUGUGGAACAUGUAACCAGAAUGCUUCCUCUUGCUUACUGAACACCAGCACUUCUGGAGCUAGCAGAAGUGAUGAUGGUAAAGGAGACACAAUUGAUCCGUCUUCUUGUAAUAAGGUACUGAUUGACUAUUAGUUAAACAUCUAAGAUACCUCCAGUAGUGACAGAAUGGGGAAAGCUUGUGGACCAAAACUAGUGCCAUCAAUAUUUYGUAAUGAUUAUUAGUAAGCAACAUAUAUGGAGGACGUGGAAAGAGCCAAAGGAAUGAAGCCAACUGACUCRAAUGUAACAGAUGAUGCUUGGCAUAUACUUUGCAAUUAUUGGAGUUCGGAGAAGUUUCAUGAGAACAUGGUAGAGAUCAAGCGGCAAAUUGAUUGAACCGAAAAUMCUUCGGGUGAUCUAGAGAUUAUGCAACAAGUCUUAAGUAAAAGACUUGCAUAUACUCGGCGAUGGUUGGGGAAUGGUCUAGGGUCCCGAGCACUAGGAGCGAUUCUACGAGCUCGCGACAUAGCACCGGUGUGUCAGGUCGAUUGAGCCACACCGAGAUGUCUAAUCAACUUGCUUCAACAGAGUCCGAGCUUGCUUCAACCAAAUCCGAGCUCUUUCUUAUGAAAGAUGAAUUCGYUGAGUUGCGACAAAUGGUGAGGUCAAUUGUAUCCGGCCGRUCAGUUCCAASUUUUUCAUCUUCAUUAACUAUUCAAGACCAACGUUCGGAGACUCAAGAUCGUUAAACAUGCUAUGAUGAUUUUGGAUGUUUUUUUGUUGAUAAA